GGAGAUGGCGGGUUAGUUAGGUAGUGAUGUAGGCGGGAGUACAGUUUGCGCCAGUCCGCCAAUAAGAGGAAGAGGGUGUGUCAUAUGCAAAUAACAUUGACCGCCCCUCGGCCCCCUGCAAGCCACGCCCCCUUUCCGAGUUCCCUGCAGAGAUGGUGAGGAGAGAUAUAUAGCUAGAAAGCUAGAGCUCCCUAGAGGGUCUAAGACUGGGCUAAACACUUCCUGAUAUCCUGAAAAAGGGAAUGUAGGGUACAGACUGAAACAUUCCUUCCAUCGAAACAUUGAUUCAGCCUCAGGCAAAACCUAAGCUUAGCUCUACAGAAGACUGCAGGAUUGUAGGACUGCAUCCAGGGAUCUCCAAGAACUUUACGUUAGGCUUGUUGUGCAAAAGACCAUUUACCUGAAGCUUGACAUUCGUAUGGAGGUCUCUAGUGUACCAGGAUUUAUGAAGGCCUGCACUUCACAGAAUGCAUCUGUGAUAAUUUUAAAGACCAUCCUACUGAUCAAAGAGGCCAAAGGGAAUGUGGCAACAGUGGAAGGGCAAGGAGUCAUGCUCCAGCAACUGAUGGAAGCCAUUCAUUUGGCCUGAAGUAAUCUGUGUUUUCUGUGCCUCUGAAUGUGCCAAUUUCAGUGUCUAUGAUGGCAAACUUGUGAGUCUUUGCUAUGUUCGAAACUGAGCACUCCAAGCAAGUAGAUACUUCUGGUAUGCCAAGGAAAGACAGAGAUUACUCCAGCAAAAGUAACCUUCCUGCCAAUCUACAUUAUAAUUCUAAGAGGCAUCUGGUCAAGUUAACCAAGAAAACAUAUUUGAUCAUGGAGGAGCUUAACUGACCCGUUUCACUAUACCUUUUUAUAUCUUGAUAGAACAAUAUGGAUAUGGGUUAUUUUCUUAGAGUACUUGCCACCUGCUUUGUGAUUAUGUUUUUAGUUGGCUUCCUUUUCCACAAGAUUAUAGGCUUCAUGAUGACAAUUUUAUUCAUCAUUCUAUCCUCAAUACAAUAAUUUUGGGGGCAAAGAAAUGAAUUUAAAAAGUCAGCACAAAAAAGUCUUCCAGUCUAUGCCAUAAGAAUAGUGAAUGCUCCUCAGACAGCAAAAAUGUCUGAUGUGAAGAUCUGAGUAUGUGAAAUGAAGCCAGUUUUAGUGAAUUUGUUUUGCUGAAAUGAGAGCAACCUGCAUGUACCUAAGUCACACACAGGAAGCAGAAGAACUGAGGGUCAGGGGACACAUGACCCCACAAUGACUGAAAAGGGAAAAGAGGCAGCUAUUGAGAAGAUGAGAGAAACAUGUAUGCAAAAUGUAUGAAAUCAACUAUGCAUUUUGUGAAGCGUAAGUCACAGUACUGUGUUUUGGACCUGUAGUCACAAAGACUGAGAUAGAAAAUAAAAACCUCCGCUUCUGUGUGCGAGUAAUC